GGAGGAGAAAAAAAGCAACACUCUUCCCUGCACUGCUCAACUUGCAUGAGUUGCCAAGUGCUCCUCAGGUCAGCUCAUGCUAGAAGUGGACGGUAUCACAGUGUGGGUGAAGGUCAGUGUAGGAGCAGCUGCUGAUGGGAGGAAGGAAGUCUAGACUAAUGAACUCUGCAGCAUCUCCUGGUGUGAUACCAGAGGAAGCAGACAUGACAUUGCAGAAGGAAGUGAGGAACUCCUCAGCAGGAAGCCACAAACCUUGCGGAAACCUGCAGGAGAGUUGGAGCAUGUGUGGAUGCCCA
rnacentral:lncRNA from 1 species